GAGAGCACAGUACGAUGAAAGUUGUAAGCUGUGUUCGGGGGGGAGUUAUUGUCUAUCGUUGGCCUCUAUGGUAGAAUCAAUUGAGGCCUGAGAGGCGGUGGUUUACCCUGU
rfam:Cajanus cajan Scaffold126959_3, whole genome shotgun sequence.